rnacentral:rRNA from 1 species
UACAGAGGUCUCAAGCGUUGUUCGGAUUCAUUGGGCGUAAAGGGUGCGUAGGCGGCGCGGUAAGUCGGGUGUGAAAUCUCGGAGCUUAACUCCGAAACUGCAUUCGAUACUGCCGUGCUUGAGGACUGGAGAGGAGACUGGAAUUCCUGGUGUAGCGGUGAAAUGCGCAGAUAUCAGGAGGAACACCAGCGGCGAAGGCGGCGCUCUGGGCCGGAACUGACGCUGAGGAGCGAAAGCGUGGGUAGCAAACAGG